rnacentral:tRNA from 1 species
UAGCUCAGUCGGUUAGAGCAUGGUGCUGAUAACACCAAGGUUGCGGGUUUGAUUCCUGU